AUUGGGGUGUGGGGCACAGGCAGGAGCCUUGCUUGGAGCAAGGAACAGGGACAAGGGAGCUCAGAUGUGACACUCCAUCCUCCUGGGUCUUGAUUCCAGUCGCUGCGGCCAACACCUCUCCAGGCUCACGGAUUCCAAGACGCCCUGGUCUCCUGGGAAUUUCUUCGGGGCGAAGAGCAGAGAUCUGGGCCCUUUGGAUUCUCCAGGCACGUGAGAGGGAGGAAGCCGGCUGGGAAAUCAAAGCUUUACCUGCAGUCCUCGAGGGAUCUGAAGGUAUGUAGGCGUCUGUUGCCUGAUAUCAUAUCAGACACUGUCUACUCCUUUCUUUUGGAUGAUGCAUCAGGAUAAGGGCGAAAUGAUUAAGAGUCAUCACGCUCGGCGCUGAGCUGAGCUCGGAACGUGUGUUUGUUCUCCCCCUGAGCUCUCGCAACCACGCUUACCCAUUUUCCAGCCCCCAAGAAGGCAGGGCCGGAGCCUCCCUCCGGGAGAAAGUCUCCACGGCCUGCUGGCCUGUCCACCGCCUCGUUCGGCCACAUGAGUUGCAACAACCACCGGAAAGGGAGCCUUGCGUCCAGCAUCUUCGUGGGCAACCGCCUCCGGCCAACAGCAAUGCAGAGGGACUUCCUGAAAGAGAUCUGUGAUGAGGCGCCCGGGCGGCUCAGUCGGUGGAGCUCCCGACCGCGGCCCAGGGGCUGUGCCAAAGCCGUCUAAAGCAGCAAGAUCCUCCUUAUCCCUACGUCGUCCCUAAGUUCCCGGUGACGGCACCCCUCCCCCCCUGCCGGGGACGGGCUGUGCACCCAGCAACCUCGGGCCACACGCGCACCAUCCCAAAAAACACCAUCAAGCUGAGUCCAGCUUCACACCUUCUCCAAAGGAGGGAACAGGUGAAGUCUCCCCGCAAAGACAGACCAGAGAGGAAAACGCUGGGGCCACAAACCAGCAGGAAAAGGUGAAGAUGGGCGUUUCUGAAAGGGGGCGCAGCAGAACCCAUGCGGCCACAUGUUAACAGGUGCUGCAGGGAAAAGGGGCUACGUGUGGAAACGCUGGAGAGAGCUGGCCCACAGGAUCUACCGCAAUCUAACCUGCAAAUGUACGUCCCACAUCUCUCCCGGGCACCGGCUCCCCAACCUUUCCCAAGUCUGUGUGACACUGUGCACCCCCUCUUGCUCUUGGGACGAGCGCCCCCCCCAAAGAGCAGGCACUUCUGUAAAUGCGGAACUGGGAAGCCCGGGUGUGCCCAGAAACGCGCCCCACUUCACCCAGACACAGAUGCGUUUUUCUGCCUUCCAGUCUGGCUUUGCUCGAGCAAAUACCCUGAAAUGGCCAGCAUGCCAGACCCCGAGAGAGACUGGUCUGUCCGGGCACCAGCGUUUCCCAAGUAUCUAGCGAGGGGUUUGGACACAGUCGGCUUUUAGUAACUAUUUCUUAAAAGUGAGCAACUACGCGAAAGCAUGCUGAUGUGGCGAGUGACCGAAUUGUGUCUGUGUUAUCCCCACACGAGAUGUUCAAGGCGGUGCUUUGUAAGAAUGUCAUCUGCUGGAAGGCAGGAGUGACGGCCAGCCUCUACCCUUGAGAAUCUGCCCCCAUCUAUCAAAACGGGGUUCAGGCGGGCUGGGCGCAGGACCAGGAAGGCACAGCACAGGUGCACGGCACAGGGAGCCGCUGGCCUCAGGGUCGUUCGAGCCCAGGAUCGGCACCCACAGCGACCCCUCCUUGCCUUUGGAGCCCUGGACGCCUCGCCCGUCUCGCCUGUCUUCCCUGGAGCACGGAGUUUGCCCAGAGACUUGCCAGGGACACUUAUUUUUCCGCUAAGAAGAUACAGACGUGUAUUGUGGCAGAAUAUGAGAGCCGUGAGGGUUUACAAGAUAAAACACAAGCUCAAAAUAAACUCCAGCCUGUGCAGCCACCCCACCCCCACCCCACCCCAGGCCCCGGGGAGAUGAACCCUUGCUUUUACCUCUGGAGGAAUCUGGGUGCACAUGUUAGAGAAGUUCCAGCUAAGCUGUAAAGGAGGUUAGAAGACAAAGGGAUCAUUCAGCUUGUGCUCUAGGCUGCCGCGAACCCAGUUAAAGGGGCAGCAGAGAGCAGGCAGGGGUGGGAACGGGGUGCAGGGAGGUUGUGGUGAUGCUCACCCACAGCGCCUCUGCAGAGGGUGGGAAGCGGCAGGUGGAGGGGUG